rnacentral:tRNA from 1 species
AGGGCUAUAGCUCAGUUAGGUAGAGCACCUCAAGGUCUACGGUUCGAGUCCGUAUAGUCCUA